AGAGUUUGAUCAUGGCUCAGAGCGAACGCUGGCGGCACGCCUAACACAUGCAAGUCGAGCGAGAAAGUGACUUCGGUCGCGAGUAAAGCGGCGAACGGGUGAGUACAACGUGGAUAAUCUACCCUAGGGUCCGGGACAACCCCGAGAAAUCGGGGCUAAUACCGGAUAAGACCACAGUAUCCAAGGAUACAGCGGUAAAAGAUUUAUCGCCUUUGGAUGAGUCCACGCCCCAUCAGGUAGUUGGUAAGGUAAAGGCUUACCAAGCCUAAGACGGGUAGCCGGCCUUAGCGGGUGAACGGCCACAUGGGGACUGAGACACGGCCCUGACUCCUACGGGAGGCAGCAGUGGGGAAUAUUGGGCAAUGGGCGAAAGCCUGACCCAGCGAUGCCGCGUGAGGGAUGAAGGCCUUCGGGUUGUAAACCUCUGUCAGGAGGGACGAUGGGACUAUGUCUUGACGGUACCUCCAGAGGAAGCCCCGGCUAACUCCGUGCCAGCAGCCGCGGUAAUACGGAGGGGGCAAGCGUUGCUCGGAAUUACUGGGCGUAAAGGGUCCGCAGGCUGUCAGGCAAGUUGGUUGUGAAAUCCCAAGGCUUAACCUUGGAAUUGCAUCCAAAACUGCCUGACUAGAGUCCAAGAGAGGUUAGCGGAAUUCCCGGUGUAGCGGUGAAAUGCAUAGAUAUCGGGAGGAACACCAGAGGCGAAGGCGGCCAACUGGCUUGGUACUGACGCUCAGGGACGAAAGCGUGGGUAGCAAACCGGAUUAGAUACCCGGGUAGUCCACGCCCUAAACGAUGGAUGCUAGGUAGGGGGAAUUUAUUUCUCCCUGCCGUAGUUAACGCAUUAAGCAUCCCGCCUGGGGGAGUACGGUCGCAAGGCUGAAACUCAAAGGACUUGGCGGGGGGCCCG
rnacentral:rRNA from 1 species